UUAAUACCUGAUGGUAUGAUGAGAUUGCAUGAUAGCAUCAUUAAAGAUUUAUCGGUGUACGAUGGGGAUGCGUUCCAUUAGGUAGUAGGCGGGGUAACGGCCCACCUAGCCAACGAUGGAUAGGGGUUCUGAGAGGAAGGUCCCCCACAUUGGAACUGAGACACGGUCCAAACUCCUACGGGAGGCAGCAGUGAGGAAUAUUGGUCAAUGGACGAGAGUCUGAACCAGCCAAGUAGCGUGAAGGAUGAAGGUCCUACGGAUUGUAAACUUCUUUUAUAAGGGAAUAAACCCUCCCACGUGUGGGAGCUUGUAUGUACCUUAUGAAUAAGCAUCGGCUAACUCCGUGCCAGCAGCCGCGGUAAUACGGAGGAUGCGAGCGUUAUCCGGAUUUAUUGGGUUUAAAGGGAGCGCAGACGGGUCGUUAAGUCAGCUGUGAAAGUUUGGGGCUCAACCUUAAAAUUGCAGUUGAUACUGGCGUCCUUGAGUGCGGUUGAGGUGUGCGGAAUUCGUGGUGUAGCGGUGAAAUGCUUAGAUAUCACGAAGAACUCCGAUUGCGAAGGCAGCACACUAAUCCGUAACUGACGUUCAUGCUCGAAAGUGUGGGUAUCAAACAGGAUUAGAUAC
rnacentral:rRNA from 1 species